rnacentral:misc_RNA from 1 species
AAGUCGUAACAAGGUCUCCGUUGGUGAACCAGCGGAGGGAUCAUUACCGAGUUUACAACUCCCAAACCCAUGUGAACAUACCUUUUGUUGCUUCGGCGGGAUGCCCCCGGCGCCUAGCGUGCCCGGGACCCAGGCCCCCGCCGGAGGACCCAAACUCUUGUUUUUAUAUAGAACUUCUGAGUGGAUUAUUUUAAUAAUUAAAACUUUCAACAACGGAUCUCUUGGUUCUG